GGUCUUAAUCUUGGGUUAUUUGGGUUGUGUUUGUUCUUGAUUAGGAUUAGGAAUCCUAAUCUAAUACCUGUUUAAGCCUUUAAAAGUCUGGGAACACUGGUAUCAGUGUGUGGUGGCUUGGUUUAGCAGGAGGCUGUGGUUUUGUGCGGCACGCAAGUCAUGAGGUUGCGCAGAAACCCGAGAAUGUGAACACCGUGAAGAGAGAGAACUGCAUACGACACU
rnacentral:lncRNA from 1 species